CUACGGGAGGCUCCAGUGAGGAAUAUUGCACAAUGGGGGGAACCCUGAUGCAGCAACGCCGCGUGGAGGAUGACGCAUUUCGGUGUGUAAACUCCUUUUAUAUGUCAAGAAAAUAACGGUAGCAUAUGAAUAAGCACCGGCUAACUCCGUGCCAGCAGCCGCGGUAAUACGGAGGGUGCAAGCGUUACUCGGAAUCACUGGGCGUAAAGGACGUGUAGGCGGGUUGGAAAGUCAGGUGUGAAAUCCUACAGCUUAACUGUAGAACUGCACUUGAAACUUCUAAUCUAGAGUAUGGGAGGGGGAGAUGGAAUUAGUGGUGUAGGGGUAAAAUCCGUAGAUAUCACUAGGAAUACCUAAAGCGAAGGCGAUCUCCUGGAACAUUACUGACGCUAAGGCGUGAAAGCGUGGGGAGCAAACAGGAUUAGAUACCCCAGUAGUC
rnacentral:rRNA from 1 species